UACGUAGGGUGCGAGCGUUGUCCGGAAUUAUUGGGCGUAAAGGGCUCGUAGGCGGUUUGUCACGUCGGGAGUGAAAACUCGGGGCUUAACCCCGAGCCUGCUUCCGAUACGGGCUGACUAGAGGUAUGCAGGGGAGAACGGAAUUCCUGGUGUAGCGGUGGAAUGCGCAGAUAUCAGGAGGAACACCGAUGGCGAAGGCAGGUCUCUGGGCCACUACUGACGCUGAGAAGCGAAAGCAUGGGGAGCGAACAGG
rnacentral:rRNA from 1 species